rnacentral:lncRNA from 1 species
AAAGGACUAGAAAUGAAUACCCAACUCCUUCACUCUCAUAUGCAAUCAAUAGCAAAGCUAGAGACCCAGAUAGGUCAGCUAGCAACAGCUUUCAGUAGGAGAGAAGAAGGCAAAUUACCCAGUCAGCCUAUUAAUAAUCCAAAAGGACAGUACAUGGCUGAAAGCUCCAUUGGUCCUGAAACUUUUUUCGAACAUGCCAAAUCGAUUAUGACCCUUAGAAGUGGAAAAAUCUUAAAUCAACCUGAAGUAAUCCAACAACAAGAGCAACCAAUUUCAGCUACAAC